rnacentral:misc_RNA from 1 species
GAUGAAGAACGUAGCGAAAUGCGAUAACUAGUGUGAAUUGCAGAAUUCCGUGAAUCAUCGAGUCUUUGAACGCACAUUGCGCCCCCUGGUAUUCCGGGGGGCAUGCCUGUCCGAGCGUCAUUGCUGCCCAUCAAGCACGGCUUGUGUGUUGGGUCGUCGUCCCCUCUCCGGGGGGGACGGGCCCCAAAGGCAGCGGCGGCACCGCGUCCGAUCCUCGAGCGUAUGGGGCUUUGUCACCCGCUCUGUAGGCCCGGCCGGCGCUUGCCGAACGCAAAUCAAUCUUUUUCCAGGUUGACCUCGGAUCAGGUAGGGAUACCCGCUGAACUUAAGCAUAUCAAUAAGCGGAGGA